rnacentral:rRNA from 1 species
AGUGAACGCUGGCGGUAGGCCUAACACAUGCAAGUCGAACGGCAGCACAGUAAGAGCUUGCCCUUACGGGUGGCGAGUGGCGGACGGGUGAGGAAUACAUCGGAAUCUACUUUUUCGUGGGGGAUAACGUAGGGAAACUUACGCUAAUACCGCAUACGACCUGCGGGUGAAAGCAGGGGAUCUUCGGACCUUGCGCGAUUGAAUGAGCCGAUGUCGGAUUAGCUAGUUGGCGGGGUAAAGGCCCACCAAGGCGACGAUCCGUAGCUGGUCUGAGAGGAUGAUCAGCCACACUGGAACUGAGACACGGUCCAGAAUCAUACGGGAGGCAGCAGUGGGGAAUAUUGGACAAUGGGCGCAAGCCUGAUCCAGCCAUACCGAGUGGGUGAAGAAGGCCUUCGGGUUGUAAAGACCUUUUGUUGGGAAAGAAAAGUAGCAGGUUAAUACCCCGCUGUUCUGACGGUACCCAAAGAAUAAGCACCGGCUAACUUCGUG